GACGAACGCUGGCGGCGUGCCUAAUACAUGCAAGUAGAACGCUGAAGGAGGAGCUUGCUCUUCUGGAUGAGUUGCGAACGGGUGAGUAACGCGUAGGUAACCUGCCUGGUAGCGGGGGAUAACUAUUGGAAACGAUAGCUAAUACCGCAUAACAGUAGAUGUUGCAUGACAUUUGCUUAAAAGGUGCAAUUGCAUCACUACCAGAUGGACCUGCGUUGUAUUAGCUAGUUGGUGGGGUAACGGCUCACCAAGGCGACGAUACAUAGCCGACCUGAGAGGGUGAUCGGCCACACUGGGACUGAGACACGGCCCAGACUCCUACGGGAGGCAGCAGUAGGGAAUCUUCGGCAAUGGACGAAAGUCUGACCGAGCAACGCCGCGUGAGUGAAGAAGGUUUUCGGAUCGUAAAGCUCUGUUGUAAGAGAAGAACGAGUGUGAGAGUGGAAAGUUCAC
rnacentral:rRNA from 1 species